CUCCCUUUUCCUCUCUCUACUCUACAUAGGAUGAUAGAUCAGCUGUCAGAUCUCUAUGUUAUUCAUCCACUGGGCUCCAACUUGCUAGUGGUCACUCAAGAGGCUCCCUACAACUUUGGAAAGUGUUUGGAAAUGAAUCAAAUUGAACCAUUAUUGUAAAUUAUAAUUAUUAAUUAUUAUUAUUAAUUAUUGUCUUGUCACUUAUUUUUUUCUGUUUCUUUAUGUAAGGAUCUUCUCCUAUUACUGCCCUUUCUAUUUCUUUCCCUUCAUUGUUAUUCUUAUCACAGAACCAACACACACAUGCACACUCCAGUGACACUGAGUGAAUAAAUGUUUCAAUUUUUAAGUUUUGUAUGAUAAUAUUGUGAUGAUAGGAAAAUUUUACACAAAUUAA